AGUGAACGCUGGCGGCAGGCCUAACACAUGCAAGUCGAACGGCAGCACAAGAGAGCUUGCUCUCUGGGUGGCGAGUGGCGGACGGGUGAGGAAUGCAUCGGAAUCUGCCCAUUUGUGGGGGAUAACCUCGGGAAACCGGGACUAAUACCGCAUACGACCUACGGGUGAAAGCAGGGGAUCUUCGGACCUUGCGCAGAUGGAUGAGCCGAUGCCGGAUUAGCUAGUUGGAGGGGUAAAGGCCCACCAAGGCGACGAUCCGUAGCUGGUCUGAGAGGAUGAUCAGCCACACUGGGACUGAGACACGGCCCAGACUCCUACGGGAGGCAGCAGUGGGGAAUAUUGGACAAGGGGCGCAAGCCUGAUCCAGCCAUGCCGCGUGUGUGAAGAAGGCCUUCGGGUUGUAAAGCACUUUUGUUGGGAAAGAAAAGCAGCCGGUUAAUACCCGGUUGUCAUGACGGUACCCAAAGAAUAAGCACCGGCUAACUUCGUG
rnacentral:rRNA from 1 species